rnacentral:misc_RNA from 1 species
ACGGGAAAAUUGCCCUAUGGUGCGCAGAUCGCAAAAGCGCGAACGAAAUCAGACUACAGAAAGUUGAAGUACAACUCCGCGCCCGACGACAGCCGCGGCAUCCCACUCUGGAUCGACGAGACACUGAAGCGCGCCGUGNNNNNNNNNNNNCGGAAUACGUUUUCGAUCUUCGCCAUCCCAACGCGCGCUAUCUGAACGCAUCUCCCACGCCGCUGAUCGAGCGCGAUCCCCUGCUGUUCUGGAAAGGCCUGUCGGCGAUUCUGGCGGUCCUCANCAUUGUCGUGCUGCUGGCGAUCCAGCACGGGGUGCAUCGCUAGCGGCUGAUACCGCAACGCUGGCGGCGCGGACGGCAAGGUCGUGAAAAUGGAGCGCCAUUCAGAACAACCCGCGAACUUUUACACCCUUGAAUUUGCUACAUAAUUACAAAGAGGCUUCUCACCUUCCACAGUCGUCACGUCCGUUUCAGCAGGCG